CACAUGCAGUCGGACGGAGCUUAGAGAGCUUGCUUUUUAAGCUUAGUGGCGAACGGGUGAGUAACGCGUGAGUAACCUGCCCUAGAGUGGGGGACAACAGUUGGAAACGACUGCUAAUACCGCAUAAGCCCACGGUACCGCAUGGUACUGAGGGAAAAGGAUUUAUUCGCUUUAGGAUGGACUCGCGUCCAAUUAGCUAGUUGGUGAGGUAACGGCCCACCAAGGCGACGAUUGGUAGCCGGACUGAGAGGUUGAACGGCCACAUUGGGACUGAGACACGGCCCAGACUCCUACGGGAGGCAGCAGUGGGGGAUAUUGCACAAUGGGGGAAACCCUGAUGCAGCGACGCCGCGUGGAGGAAGAAGGUUUUCGGAUUGUAAACUCCUGUCGUUAGGGACGAUAAUGACGGUACCUAACAAGAAAGCACCGGCUAACUACGUGCCAGCAGCCGCGGUAAAACGUAGGGUGCAAGCGUUGUCCGGAAUUACUGGGUGUAAAGGGAGCGCAGGCGGGAAGACAAGUUGGAAGUGAAAACCAUGGGCUCAACCCAUGAAUUGCUUUCAAAACUGUUUUUCUUGAGUAGUGCAGAGGUAGAUGGAAUUCCCGGUGUAGCGGUGGAAUGCGUAGAUAUCGGGAGGAACACCAGUGGCGAAGGCGGUCUACUGGGCACCAACUGACGCUGAGGCUCGAAAGCAUGGGUAGCAAACAGGAUUAGAUACCCUGGUAGUCCAUGCCGUAAACGAUGAUUACUAGGUGUUGGGGGGAUUGACCCC
rnacentral:rRNA from 1 species